CCUGCCAGCUUCUCACGAGAGCCAGCCCAGGCCCUGGUAUUCUCCGGGGGUGGGUCCAGGUGCGGCACCUAAUCCUCCGCUCAUUUUGCUGCAAUUCAAUAUCAGCCUCCAAUUUUCACGCUCUGCUGCCAUCCUACCUUCCUCCUUCUGGCCUCUGCUGGGGGAAGGGAGACCCGAGGACUCCCUGCAAUGCCUCUGAGAGCCCCCUGGAAGUCUCUUGGGCUGACCCCACCCCUAGACAUACUCAGCUGGAAGAGGAGCAUUGACCUUGGGAGGGAGGGACUGCUGUUCCCACUAAAGGAGCAAGGCCUGGGCAUCCAGAGGCCUGGGGGUGGAUCCUGGUUCCACCUCCUAGGCUGUCUCGCUAUGGAAUCCAAAGCCGUACAGGUUCUCCCAGCGUCCAGCUUGAAUUUAAGUCAUGUCACACGAACGCAAUGAUCAGCGUGUCCUGUUCCUCCAAAAGUUCAACGGAGUUCCCAUGUGGCCCAGUUCAUGCUAUGACGUGGAUGAAUGUUUUAGAUUACUGCCGAGGGAAAGAAGCCAGACGCAAAAGGCCCCAAACAGUAAUUCAUGCUUCAGCAUGGCCGAAACAGUCUUGGAAAAGAACAGAGUCAGAGGAGUCACACUUCCUGAUUUGAACUUACUACAAAGCUGCGGUGGCAUUCUGCAUCAAGACUAUGUGGUUCCAUCAAUGGAUUGGACUUGACAGUCCAGAAAUAAGCCCAUAUAUUUAUGGGUAAGUGAUUUUCAGUGAAGGUGUCAGGACAAAUCAAUGAGGAAAUAAUAAUCUUUCAACAAAUGAUGCUGGGACAACUGGAUGUCUAACAUGCAAAAGAAUUAAUUUACACCCCUUGACUAAAAUUAAGUCAAAAUGAUCAAAGACCUAAUGUAAGAGACUAUAAAACUGGCAGAAGAAAACAUACGGGUUAGUCUCUUUGAACUUGGAGGAGAUGCUUUCUUAGAUACGACAGCUAAAGCACAAUCAAUCAAUCAAUCAAAUUGGAUAUCAUCGAAAUUAAAAACU